rnacentral:rRNA from 1 species
GAGACAGCAGUCGCCAUGGGAAUACGAAAGGUGCAAGCGUUGCUCGGAAUUACUGGGCGUAAAGCGUGCGUAGGUGGUUCGUUAAGUCUGAUGUGAAAGCCCUGGGCUCAACCUGGGAAUUGCAUUGGAUACUGGCGAGCUAGAGUGCGGUAGAGGGUAGUGGAAUUCCCGGUGUAGCAGUGAAAUGCGUAGAGAUCGGGAGGAACAUCUGUGGCGAAGGCAGCCCCCUGGGCCAAUACUGACGCUCAUGCACGAAAGCGUGGGGAGCAAACAGGAUUAGAUACCCCUGUAGUCCCUGUCUCUUAUAC